rnacentral:rRNA from 1 species
UACGUAGGGUGCGAGCGUUAAUCGGAAUUACUGGGCGUAAAGAGUGCGUAGGCGGAAAUGUAAGUUAGAUGUGAAAUCCCCGAGCUUAACUUGGGAACAGCAUUUAAGACUGCAUAUCUAGAGUUUGUCAGAGGGGGGUAGAAUUCCAAGUGUAGCAGUGAAAUGCGUAGAGAUUUGGAGGAAUACCGAUGGCGAAGGCAGCCCCCUGGGAUAGAACUGACGCUGAGGCACGAAAGCGUGGGUAGCAAACAGG